CCUACGGGCGGCAGCAGUGAGGAAUAUUGGUCAAUGGGCGCAAGCCUGAACCAGCCAAGUCGCGUGAGGGAUGACGGUCCUAUGGAUUGUAAACCUCUUUUGUCGGGGAGCAAGGCACGCCACGUGUGGCGGGAAGGAGAGUACCCGAAGAAAAAGCAUCGGCUAACUCCGUGCCAGCAGCCGCGGUAAUAAGGAGGAUGGGAGCGUUAUCCGGAUUUAUUGGGGUUAAAGGGUGCGUAGGCGGAAGGUUAAGUCAGCGGUAAAAUGUCGGUGCUCAACACCGGCCUGCCGUUGAAACUGGUCUUCUUGAGUGAGCGAGAAGUAUGCGGAAUGCGUGGUGUAGCGGUGAAAUGCAUAGAUAUCACGCAGAACUCCGAUUGCGAAGGCGGCAUACCGGCGCUCAACUGACGCUGAGGCACGAAAGCGUGGGGAUCGAACAGGAUUAGAUACCCUUGUAGUC
rnacentral:rRNA from 1 species